rnacentral:rRNA from 1 species
CAGCAGCCGCCGCGGUAAUACGUAGGUGGCAAGCGUUGUCCGGAAUUAUUGGGCGUAAAGCGCGCGCAGGCGGAUAGGUCAGUCUGUCUUAAAAGUUCGGGGCUUAACCCCGUGAUGGGAUGGAAACUGCCAAUCUAGAGUAUCGGAGAGGAAAGUGGGAUUCCUAGUGUAGCGGUGAAAUGCGUAGAUAUUAGGAAGAACACCAGUGGCGAAGGCGACUUUCUGGACGAAAACUGACGCUGAGGCGCGAAAGCCAGGGGAGCGAACGGGAUUAGAUACCCCUGUAGUCCCUGUCUCUUAUACA